rnacentral:rRNA from 1 species
AUUGAACGCUGGCGGCAUGCCUUACACAUGCAAGUCGAACGGCAGCACGGGAGCAAUCCUGGUGGCGAGUGGCGAACGGGUGAGUAAAGUAUCGGAACGUGCCCAGUCGUGGGGGAUAACGUAGCGAAAGUUACGCUAAUACCGCAUACGAUCUAUGAAUGAGAGCGGGGGAUCGCAAGACCUCGCGCGAUUGGAGCGGCCGAUAUCAGAGUAGGUAGUUGGUGGGGUAAAGGCUCACCAAGCCGACGAUCUGUAGCUGGUCUGAGAGGACGACCAGCCACACUGGGACUGAGACACGGCCCAGACUCCUACGGGAGGCAGCAGUGGGGAAUUUUGGACAAUGGGCGAAAGCCUGAUCCAGCCAUGCCGCGUGCAGGAUGAAGGCCUUCGGGUUGUAAACUGCUUUUGUACGGAACGAAAAGGUUUGGGCUAAUAAGCUGAGCUCAUGACGGUACCGUAAGAAUAAGCACCGGCUAACUACGUGCCAGCAGCCGCAGUAA